GACAGAGGGUGCAAACGUUGUUCGGAAUUACUGGGCGUAAAGCGAGUGUAGGCGGUUUGGUAAGUCGGAUGUGAAAGCCCCGGGCUCAACCCGGGAAGUGCACUCGAUACUGCCAAGCUAGAGUAUCGGAGAGGUUGGUGGAAUUCUCGGUGUAGAGGUGAAAUUCGUAGAUAUCGAGAGGAACACCGGUGGCGAAGGCGGCCAACUGGACGAAUACUGACGCUGAGACGCGAAAGCGUGGGGAGCGAACAGG
rnacentral:rRNA from 1 species